AGAGAAAGGAUUGCACCGUUUCGGGCAGCAAACUCGCAGUUGCCCAGACAAGAAUAGAAACAGCAACGAUCAAGUCACAUUCUUAACAUUAAAUAUGGAACUAAAAGAGAAAUUAUUGAACAUCAAGAAGCGGAAUCUCAGUCUCUCCACCUUUUACAGAUUCAAAUUAAACGAAAAGAUAAAAGAACGUGGCUAACCAUUGGCCUUCAACUACGUUCCCCUCCCCGACCACAGCGUCAAUCUCUUCUAGCCUUCGACUUUUACACUGAAAACGAGCGCAAGGAUUGCCCCCGGGGCGGAAACGACGUUGCCCGUGUACGGGCUUAGAUUCUUGAACGCCUGACCGCUUGCGGCGACCUUAGACGCUUUUCCGCAAAUUCGUAAGUAAGUAUAAAUAGCUCUUAAAGACAACCGAAAAGAAGAUAAGAGCAAGUGGAAAAAAGGAAAAUUAAGAGAGAGAAAGCUUGGAGAAUGCUAAAUGGUAUUCCAAGAUUGGAUGAUGGCCUACAAGUGAGGGGGGCCCAUUUAUACAAGUAAGAAUUUCUAGAAUGUUCUGCUUGACUAGAGAAUUCUAUAUACAAGAGUUUCCAGAAGGCUCCACCAUGUUCUAGGUUUUCCACAUUUUCUAGAAUGGGAUAGAGAUUUCUAGAACUUUCCCAAUGUCCAGAAGAUCCAUGAAGGCCCUAGAAUGUUCUAGGCUUUUUGUGUGCCAAUUAAGUGGGUUGUAACAUUCUCCCCCACCUAAUCUGGCGACGCCCUCUGUCGCAGUCUCUUUGAAAGUCGGCGAUCUUGUCCUGAACUGCAUAAGGACUUCUUCUUCUCCCAGCUAGCUUCACUGUCCGGCUGUCCCUUCCAUUUAACUAGGUACUCCACGUACCUCUUUCCCCUUUUUGAAUAAUUCGCCGGGCUAGUAUAGUGUCGACUGUUUGUCGAACGAAGCGUAAUGGAUGUGAGCUCUAAGCGAUUCUCCCUACUCGGGUCUUCCAAAUCCCAUGAUAAGCUUGAGAAAGGCUUUACAUGGAAGACUGGAUGGAUUUUAAUUUUGAGGCACUCAAGUUGGUAGGACACCUUGCCACCUCCUUUUGUGAUGGGGAUGGUCCCCCCCCCCCCCCCCCCUCAUAUCUCCGUGCUAGUCCUUGUGAAAGGCCCCUUGAAUAUUUGGCUUGAUGGGUGAGAAGCUUCACCAUGACAAGGUCUCCUUCUUCGUACUCGCUUUGGCCGCCGCUUGCUUAUCCGCCCAUUUCUCUUCAUUCUUUGGCCGCCUUGGCCAAGUAAGCGUUGCCAUAUCCGGCUUUUUCAUGCCACCCCUUGGCAAAUUUAAAAGCUCCGGGACUUUUGCCCGUAUACCCGGUAGCACGGCGGUUGGCGUUCAAAAAGGGUUGUUUACCCGUAGCAACGCGAAUGGCCUGGAAUUCGUUGCCAAUCACUUCCUGAAGGUUGUUAUGAAAAUUGGCCACGUCGCAGUAAUUUUGGCCCAAUCCUUCUGGUGGCACUCACCUAGUGCCUUAUGUAGAGCUCCAUAAAGCAUUCACCCGUUCGUUGGCCGUCGGUUGCGGUUGAAAGCUUGUUAGAGAAGUUAAGCUCCGUGCCCAGAGCUUGAAAAUCGCGGUCCAAAAGCGCCCCGUGAACGAGAGUCCCGAUCACUGACAUAUUUUUGGAACUCCCCAAUAUUUUACCACAUGUGCCAAGAAUAUAACCGAGCCGUUCUCCGUCUGCGUGCAAUCCUUGGUGGCUGGUAUGAAGGUUGCAUUUUGGAAAAUCGAUCGACCACCACGAUAAAUAGUGACCCUUCCUCGGACUUUGGAAGACUCUGAUAAAGUCCAUGAUUCUCUCCAAGGCCGAUCCGGUGUGGGCAAGGGUUCUAAUAAGCCCGGGAGGGCUUUGUCCCACCUUUGUCUGUUGGCUACAAGCCAAGUCUUCACAUAGAGUUUCCACGCGUCCCGCAUAUGUGGCCAUAAUACGUGCGCUCCACCAUGCAGUGUGCGAUGAUACCCGGAUUUCCGGCCACUUGGAGUCAUGCACUCCUUAAUUUUCUUUGCGAAGCAUUCCCCACUUGGGCAAUAAAUCCCGAUCUCCUUUUGCAAGAGAAGAUCACCCUUAUCCAAAAUGCCGUGUCUUGCCUUGAUGAUGCUAUCGCUAAGAGUUUUGGCCACCGAUCAUGAAAAGCCCUCCUUGUCUCUCCUUCAAAAGACUUGGGGUUGGCUAAUGGCGGCAAGUUCGGCCCUUCUGUCUUAAUGCAUCUGCCCCAAGUUGGCUUGAACCCUGCUUGUACUCCAGAUUAGUCAAAUUCGGCAAGAAAGUCUUUGCCACGAGCCUGCUUAGGAUUACUUCUUUUGGGUCAGAAGUAACUCGUCGCGAUAUUGUCCGUCUGACUACGAACUUGGAUCCAAGCCAAUAGUUGCCUCCAUGUCCGCAAGCAAUGUAACAACCGCGGUCAUCUCUUUUCUUGCACCGUUAGCGCCUUUCGGCGUCAUUUAACUUUUCGGCUUUCAAAGGCAACGGAUGGCCCUCUUGCAUCAAUACUCCCCAAUAGCACAAAUCUGAGGCAUCGGUGUGUACUUUCCGAUGGCUUGUGUGUCGAACCAGCUUAGACGGGUUCCUCCAUAAUUGCUUCUUCCGGCCUUGGAAAGCAUCCUCGACUUAGCCGUCCAUUCCCAUGAAUGGUCUUUCUUGAGAAGAUCCGUCAAUGGUGCCGGCUAUGGCCGAAUAUCCUCGGUGAGUUCGUCGAUAAUAGUUGGCUUAAGCCAAGAAAAGAUCGUAGCUCGGUGACUUUCUUGGGGUUUCCCAUUCUUGAAAUGGCAUGUAUCUUGCCUUGUCCCAUGGCUGAUUUUUGUCCCCCGUCCGCCACAUUUCCCCAAAAAGUUCACUCCGAUUGAGCAAAGCGCAUUUUUCCUGUUUGACAUAAUAGCUCAUUUUCCCUUAAAACUUGGAGGAUUUGUCGUAGAUGCCCCAAAUGUUCUUCAAAGAAGAGCUAUAGAUACAAUGUCGUCCAAAUAUACUACGACAAUCGUUCCAAGAAGGGAUGUAUUAUUUGAUUCUCAAAGUACCAAAUGUGGCAUGGGCCAUGAGUAAGGCCAAAAGGCAAUGACUAGAAAUUCAGAAGGAGCCGUACCUCGUGCACAUGCGUCUUGCUCCGUCCUCCUCGGCAAUCCGACUUUGAAUAAUACCCCGAUCUAAAUCCAACUUGGUAAACCAUCGGCACUGCCAGCCUUCAAACCAAAGCGGCAUAAGAGAAGGGGUAUUUGUUCUUGAUGGUUCCUUGUUAAGUGCCCUGUAGUGAUACAAGGCGAGGGACCCCGUCAUGCUUCCGUUGGAAACAUCGGUGCACCAUAGGGACUUUUUGAUGGUUUGCUGAAGCCGGCAUCCACAACUCCUUCAAUUGCCUCCGUAGCUCUUCUAAUGUCCGGGGUGCCAUCCGAUAGGUGGCCAUGGCCGGUAUCAAAACAUUGGCGCCUACCUCCAAUUCAUGGCAUGGAUCCACCUCCCCUUGGUGGAAGUCUCUUUGGCAAUUCCGGGCAUGACAUCUUUGAGUCUCCAGCACCUCCGCACUUCCCUUGGUAAGCCACCCGUCCUGGUGCUAGAAGUUGCUUCAUUGAGCGUAAAGUGGCAAUGAAUGUAAGCUCUCUUCUUGAGUCCCUCUGGAUAGUUGCAUCGCGGACAAAAGUUUUGGCCUUCAAAGUGUUUCUCUAGCCAGUGGCACCAUGCAUGCAUUUCCUUCGCCCUGAUGCACAUAGUUUUUCGGCGAAGGGCUGGGGAAUGCCCGCACCCCAUCCCAAACUCCAUCCCCAACACAUGGGGUAAUCAUCCAAAUGGGCACGACAGAGAUUCCACUUGGCCGCUCCAAUUGCCAUGUGCAGUCCUACGUUCCCUAGCAACCCAUAUAUAGAGCCGUGCCUUCAGUUGACGGCCUUUAACCAUCCUUGCCCCAUCUUUAAAUUUGAUGCCUAGUCUCUCGGCCUCCUUUAUUUCAUGAAAAUAUGAGAAGCCCCGUGUCAACUAGCAAAAUGGAGGAACCGCAUACCUUGUCCUCACGUAAUACGUCCCUUUUUUUGUGGCUUGGCCGAAUCUACCUUGGCUAAUUGCGUUGAGCAAGCGUAGUCGAUCCCAUCUUGGUCUCCUCUCAUGGGUCUCUUCUUCAUUUGGAUGAGGGCCGAUAACUUGGCUCGCUUUGGGCACUCUCGACAAUGGGCGGACCAUCACUAGAAGCACCUGUAGCUUGGGUUUUAUCGCCGCCCACCUUGUCAUAACUGUGGGGGGGCUUGCCCCUUGUUAUGUGUGGGUGGCUUGGUUCUCGCAUCUUUUGCUUGGUUUGAGGUCUCUCCCCCACUUUUGCCUUGAUAUAAUUUUGCCCCUUUGCUUUGGAAGAAUUCGCUUCUCUUGAAAUUCAACAAGGGAUUCUCCACACAGAUAGCACUAGCAAGAUCUUGAGGCCCCGUCGCUGUCACCUCAACCUUGGGCCCAUGAUUUGUAGGCCUCAACCAAAUGUAAAAAGGGCUUCUUUGUCCCCCCGACACACGGGAAUCUCCAACAUGAGUGCCGAGAACUCCUUCACAUACUCCCGCAUGGGUAAUUCUUGUGUGCGAGUCGGCGUAGCUUGGCACGGGCCUCGUGUUCGGAAUCUCGGGAUAUGAAUUGCCCUUUUUAUUUCCCCUUGAAGUCCUCCCAAGAUUCAUAGUGCAUGUGCCUUCUCAUGUCGGCAUCCUCUCCUCCACCAAGCAUUGCCGCAUCCGCCAAAAUAUAAAGGGGCCGUCUUGAUCUUCCUUAGCAUCAUCUCUAUGCUCAUAGCAUCGAAAUAGUGCUCCAAGUUCCAUAAGAAAUUAAACAGCUCCCUGCAUUUCUAUCUCCAUGGAAACUUUUGGUCUAGGACCAUCAAUUCUAGAGCAACCAAUGGGAGAGAACGUACCUGGGCCGCCGCGGCCUUGCACAAGGAGACAUCUCCCUUCAUUUCCUUCAUCUCCUCUCGUAUAGCGGCAAUGCUCGGCAUGAACUAAGUCAUUUUG
rnacentral:lncRNA from 1 species